CAGAGCAGGAAAAAGAAUGUCAGUGUGGAGCUGGUGGAGCAGAGAGAGCAUAACCAGGAAGUUGGCAUGGCUGCCAGGGUCCCUUGGCAAGGAAGUGUGUUAAAAGCUAAAGAGAUCUUGUAUCUCUGCCUCCUUCUCCUACCACCACAAAAAUUCCCGUCUCCAAAGGGGCUUGUCAUAUGCCAAGUGGUGCUUAGGAGAGCAGCUGGAACCCCAAUCAGGACCAGGGUGAGAAAGCUAGAGAAGAGAUCCCAAGAAGCAUACUCAAGAUGAUAAACUUCUACAGAUGGUGUGUGUCCGUGGUGGUGUGUCUGCUGCUGCUGUUGGCAGGCUGGGGGGCCUGUGCAAAAAUGCAGAUUCCAGACUAUCCAGGGGAAGAUGCUAGCAUCGAGCAGAUGGAAGACUUCCUGUUGAAGCUGGGCCAGGAGUUGGAGGCUAUCGGCAUGUCCCCUUACCGAAAGAGGAGACGCUAAGAGAUCUGGCAUCAUCUCCCCAGACAAUGGCUCUGAAUUCUAUCCCCUUUCAGAGGACCAAGAUUUUAAAGUGAGAUGAAUCAAGUGGGUCCCAAAGGCUGGGAAAUGUAUGGGGCUUGGGAUGAGCCGUGGGGGAGGGGAGGAGGGAAGAGGUUUAGGAGGACGGAGAUCCUUACAAACUGCAGAAUAUAGAUUGAAUUAGAAUGUUAGAGGAGGUUGGGGGUGGGGUGGGGAGUGAGAUGCCACUUGAAUUCUCCUCGGGCUUCUGAGGCUCCUGAUGGACACUAUUUACUAUAUAGGCUUCCCAGAAUAUCAUAACAAGUGACAAUGUCCUCCUCUCCCCCCCAAAUCCCUGCACCCCACCAUAUACACAUAUACACGUGCACACACAACUUGUUCAUUUCAAAUAAUUUCCAUCCUUCCCUGGUCUUCCCCAAAGUUUUUUUUUGAUACAAAAUAUAGCUUUCUGAAAACAGUACUAGAGAGAGAGUCCAGAGGUGUUUAUCUAGCACCUUCAAACCAUCCUUGGCAAAGCACAUUUAUUACCCAGGUCUCUGACUUUCUAAUCUGUAAAAUGGGGAUGUUAGUAUUUGUACCAACUUCUACACAAGAUUGUUGUGGGGGAGAUGCUUUAUAAAUCUUA